UGUGAGACACCCCGUAUCCCUGCUCUAAUGGAUUUUUUUUAAAGUUUAUCCACAGUUUGAAUAGGAGACUGAGGGACCACAUCAGAAUAUCCCAUAACGCCAUGGCUAAGACAUGCAUCUGAGAAGGGGAAGAUCUCAGUUCAGAUUCUUCAGUCUCCAUCUACUUACUCAGCUCCACAGCCAGCACAGUGAUAUUGUGCCAAGAAAGGUCUUCCCGGUCAAGAGGUCUUGCAGUCAUCAGAGCUCCUGUUGCAAUGUCAACGUAAAAGAACCUCCCGGGAUCACUGCUUCUAUCAAUUGAAUAUCUGCAAAAGUACAUACUAAAAAUAUUAUGCAA